rnacentral:rRNA from 1 species
UCGAGGAUCUUCGGCAAUGGGCGCAAGCCUGACCGAGCGACGCCGCGUGCGCGAUGAAGGCCUUCGGGUUGUAAAGCGCUGUCGAGGGGGAGAAAAGCCGCAAGGCCUGAUCGACCCCUGGAGGAAGCACGGGCUAAGUUCGUGCCAGCAGCCGCGGUAAGACGAACCGUGCGAACGUUGUUCGGAUUCACUGGGCUUAAAGGGCGCGUAGGCGGACGCUCGCGUCCGGGGUGAAAUCCUCCGGCCCAACCGGAGAAUCGCCUCGGAUACGGGGUGUCUCGAGGGAGGUAGGGGCGCGCGGAACUUCCGGUGGAGCGGUGAAAUGCGUAGAUAUCGGAAGGAACGCCGGUGGCGAAAGCGGCGCGCUGGACCUCUACUGACGCUGAGGCGCGAAAGCCAGGGGAGCGAACGGGAUUAGAUACCCCCGUAGUCC